rnacentral:rRNA from 1 species
GACGAACGCUGGCGGCGGGCUUAACACAUGCAAGUCGAACGGAGUGGCGAACGGGCGAGUAACACGUGGGUGACCUGCCCUGCACUUCGGGAUAAGCCUGGGAAACUGGGUUUAAUACUGGAUAGUGUGGGAUGGGCCCGCGGCCUAUCAGCUUGUCGGUGGGGUAAUGGCCUACCAAGGCGGCGACGGGUAGCCGGCCUGAGAGGGUGGACGGCCACAUUGGGCCUACGGCACGGACCAGUGUCCUACGGGGGGCAGCGGGGGGGAAUAUUGCGCAGUGGGCGGGAGCGUGAUACAGAGACGCCGCGUGGGGAAUGACGGCCUUCGGGUUGUAAACUCCUUUCACCAUCGACGCGGUAGAUGGAGAAGAAGCACCGGCUAACUACGUGCCAGCCGCCGCGGUAAUAC